AGAGUUUGAUCCUGGCUCAGAUUGAACGCUGGCGGCAGGCCUAACACAUGCAAGUCGAGCGCGAAAAGCUUUCGGGCUGAGUAGAGCGGCGGACGGGUGAGUAACGCGUAGGAAUCUACCUGGUAGUGGGGGACAACUUGGGGAAACUCAAGCUAAUACCGCAUACGCCCUAAGGGGGAAAGCGGGGGACCUUCGGGCCUCGCGCUAUCGGAUGAGCCUGCGUAGGAUUAGCUAGUUGGUGGGGUAAAGGCCCACCAAGGCGACGAUCCUUAGCUGGUCUGAGAGGAUGAUCAGCCACACUGGAACUGAGACACGGUCCAGACUCCUACGGGAGGCAGCAGUGGGGAAUAUUGCGCAAUGGGCGAAAGCCUGACGCAGCCAUGCCGCGUGUGUGAAGAAGGCCUUAGGGUUGUAAAGCACUUUCAAUUGGGAAGAAAAGUUUGUUGUUAAUAGCGGCAAGCUCUGACAUUACCUUUAGAAGAAGCACCGGCUAACUCCGUGCCAGCAGCCGCGGUAAUACGGAGGGUGCGAGCGUUAAUCGGAAUUACUGGGCGUAAAGCGCGCGUAGGCGGUUUGUUAAGUCAGCUGUGAAAGCCCCGGGCUCAACCUGGGAACUGCAGUUGAUACUGGCCGACUAGAGUACGAGAGAGGGAGGUAGAAUUCCAUGUGUAGCGGUGAAAUGCGUAGAUAUAUGGAGGAAUACCAGUGGCGAAGGCGGCCUCCUGGCUCGAUACUGACGCUGAGGUGCGAAAGCGUGGGGAUCAAA
rnacentral:rRNA from 1 species